GGUUCGUUGGUGUAAUGGUUAACAUCACAGAUUGUCGAUCUGCUGCUAUGGGUUCGAUUCCCGUACGAACCG
rfam:Sphingobacteriales bacterium 40-81 SCNpilot_expt_1000_bf_scaffold_184, whole genome shotgun sequence.